rnacentral:rRNA from 1 species
AGGAACAAAAAGCAACGGCGGUUGCUGGAGUAAUGGCGAAUGAAUGGGCAAGUGCAUAUUCUCCCUGCCUGAAGGUGUUUGAAAGGUGGCCAAAGUGUGGCACUCAUGUGUUACACAAUCGACUGUUGUGAUCCAUCCCUUUGCUGUGGGCUGUGAGGCCCCUGGCUGUGCCUGGUCCUGGUUGUGCUGCACCAAGAAUGAGGUCCUUGGAAGGGGACACCACAGAAAGAGACUGUCUUGUAUGCCCUGUCAGUGUGUGGCACCAGGCUGGGUGUGGCUGGGUUGGCACUCAGGAGUAGAGUUGCUUGAGACUGCAGUUUGAAGUGCAAUGUGUAUCCAUUGCAAGGAAAGGUAUCUGCCAUGGGAACCGAUAGAGCACAAGUACCUCGAAGGAAGGAUGCAAAGGACUCUGCAAAGAGGGUUCAAAGUCCCUGAAGCCUCAGCAGGAUACGGUGGUGAGUGGUGCUGUGGAGCCAUGUGUGAACACCUCCACACCCCAACAAACAGAGGGUUCAGAAUGCCAGAUUCAGAUGCCAGAUUCUUCAGAGUCAGUCAGCACAGAACAGAAAAGGGUGUAGCCAACAGAGCAGAGCAGAUCACAUCAUGGAGCCAAAGCAGUUUUGAGUCAGCCCUGGACUGGCCAUCAGAGCCCCAUUUCUCUCCGGAGAGUGGGAUGAGUUUGGGGUUUGUGUGGUGGUGUGGCAUAACCACCCCUGUGGGUGUGCCAUCAUCCCACCUGCCCUUUUCAUGGCAGUCCCAGGUGGAAGAUCGCCCGUCUGGACUUGAGAUUCCCUGUUGUGUCAGAGAACAGAAAGUGAGAGCAUAUCACAUCCAUUUGCCCGUCAGAGAUCAGAGUUUGGCCAGGCUUGGACAAUGCAGGUGAAGUGCUUCACCCUCCCACAAGGAGGGCUGAAGGAGAGGCUGGGGCCCCUUGGUGCCUGCUGCACCAUUCUGCUGGUGGUUUGCCCAGGGGGAUGUGCUCAUAUCCCACCCCAGCCUCCCUGAACAGGUUUGGUUGAUCAGCACAGGAAAAGGCAGAGAGACUUGGCCAGAGGAACAUUCAGCAAAGGCCACUCACUGCCCGUCUUGAAACACGGACCAAGGAGUCUAUGGAGCUUGCAGAUUGGAAGGUGUCUCUUCUUCACAGCAGUUGGCAAAACCACAGGAUGUGGUGAAGGCAAAGGUUGUGUGUGCCAUCUCCUCAGCACACACCAGGCCCAGAUGGGGUUAAGCUGCUUGUCCCCCCUGCCUGGGCCACCAGAUUCAGAUCCUUCAGGACAGAGUUUUGAGUGGGUGUGAGGUCCAUGGGACCCGAAAGGUGGUGAACUAUACCAUUCCAUGAUGAAGCCAUGGGAAACUGUGGUGGAAGUCAGCAGCUGUUCUGACGUGCAAAUUGUGUAGCCUGAGUGUGGCAUAGGGGUGAAAGGCCAAUCGAACCACCUAGUAGC